AAGUUGUACAAAAGGAGUAAAGGUUAGAACUCCCCUUGACAAGGAUGGAAGAGGCCCGCGGGCCUUACAACACAUAUAGUUAAAGCAUUACCACCAAAUUUGUGGCAUCUAACCACAGUUUUGA